rnacentral:rRNA from 3 species
UACGUAGGUGGCAAGCGUUAUCCGGAAUUAUUGGGCGUAAAGCGCGCGUAGGCGGUUUUUUAAGUCUGAUGUGAAAGCCCACGGCUCAACCGUGGAGGGUCAUUGGAAACUGGAAAACUUGAGUGCAGAAGAGGAAAGUGGAAUUCCAUGUGUAGCGGUGAAAUGCGCAGAGAUAUGGAGGAACACCAGUGGCGAAGGCGACUUUCUGGUCUGUAACUGACGCUGAUGUGCGAAAGCGUGGGGAUCAAAC